rnacentral:rRNA from 1 species
UUGACCUCGAAUCAGGUAGGGAUACCCGCUGAACUUAAGCAUAUCAAUAAGCGGAGGAGGUG